rnacentral:rRNA from 1 species
GAUGAACGCUGGCGGCGUGCUUAACACAUGCAAGUCGAACGGUGAAGCAGGAGCUUGCUCUUGUGGAUCAGUGGCGAACGGGUGAGUAACAUGUGAGCAACCUGCCCCUGACUCUGGGAUAAGCGCUGGAAACGGCGUCUAAUACUGGAUAUGUGAUGUGACCGCAUGGUCUGCAUCUGGAAAGAAUUUCGGUUGGGGAUGGGCUCGCGGCCUAUCAGCUUGAUGGUGAGGUAAUGGCUCACCAAGGCGUCGACGGGUAGCCGGCCUGAGAGGGUGACCGGCCACACUGGGACUGAGACACGGCCCAGACUCCUACGGGAGGCAGCAGUGGGGAAUAUUGCACAAUGGGCGGAAGCCUGAUGCAGCAACGCCGCGUGAGGGAUGACGGCCUUCGGGUUGUAAACCUCUUUUAGCAGGGAAGAAGCGAAAGUGACGGUACCUGCAGAAAAAGCACCGGCUAACUACGUGCCAGCCGCCGCGGUAA